rnacentral:rRNA from 1 species
UACGUAGGGUGCAAGCGUUGUCCGGAAUUAUUGGGCGUAAAGAGCUCGUAGGCGGUCUGUCGCGUCGGAUGUGAAAACCCAGGGCUUAACCCUGGGCUGGCUUCGAUACGGGCAGACUAGAGGUAUGCAGGGGAGAACGGAAGUUCCUGGUGUAGCGGUGAAAUGCGCAGAGUAUCAGGAGGAACACCGGUGGCGAAGGCGGUUCUCUGGGCAUUACCUGACGCUGAGGAGCGAAAGUGUGGGAGCGAACAGG